rnacentral:lncRNA from 1 species
GGGCCACCAUCCUGCUCCUUGUUAUUGGUAUUGUAAAAAACAGCCAUACCCAAAGUCUCGUUUCUGCUGAGAUCUGUAUCUUUGGGUCGAAAGAAGGCAAAAGUGGAUGAGUUCCCACUCUGUGGCCACAUGGUGUCUGAUGAAUAUGAGCUGCUGUCUUCUGAAGCCCUGGAGGCUGUCCGUAUUUGUGCCAAUAAGUACAUGGUGAAAAGUUGGGGCAGAGAUGGCUUUCACAUCCGAGUGUAGCUCCAUCCCAUCCAUGUCAUCUGCAUCAACAAGAUGUAGCCCUGUGCUGGGGCUGAAAGGCUCCAGAUGGGUAUGUGAGGGGCCUUUGGAAAACCCCAGGGUACUGUGGCCAGGGUCCACAUUGGUCAAGUCAUCAUGUUUAUCCGCACUAAGCUUCAGAACAAGGACCAUGUGAUUGAAGCCUUACGCAGGGCCAAGUUCAAGUUCCCUGGAUGGCAGAAGAUCCAUAUCUCCAACAAGUGGGGCUUCACCAAGUUUAAUGCUGACAAAUUUGAAGACAAAGUGGCUGAGAAGCACCUCAUCCCUGAUGGUUGUGGGGUCAAGUAAGUUCCCAAUCACAGCCCCUUGGACAAGUGGCAGGUUCUGUACU